AACGCACCUUGCGCUCCCGGCAGAUCUAAUCUGGGGAGCAUGCCUGUUUGAGGGCCGCGAAUUGUUUCGAACGACAGCUUUCUUGUUUAUUCGAGAGGGCUGGCGGAUCGGUAUUGAGGGUCUUGCCAUUUUCCACAGUGGCUCCCUCGAAAUGCAUUAGCGCAUCCAUUCGAUAGGCAAGACGGACGAAAGCUCGUUGUUUCGCCCACGUCUUUCCCCUGCCGGGUUUUGAUAAUAUCAGGACUUCGGAGAGGAAGGCGGAGGGUCGAGGAGCUGGACGCGACGUUUUGCUGGUUGGAGUGCUUCUGAACCCCGCCCAUGCCUCGCAAGAGGAAGGGAAGAUUAAUUUCAAUUCAUCGGCCUCAGAUUGGUAGGACUACCCGCUGAACUUAA
rnacentral:misc_RNA from 1 species